rnacentral:rRNA from 1 species
UACGAAGGGGCUAGCGUUGUUCGGAAUCACUGGGCGUAAAGCGCACGUAGGCGGAUCGUUAAGUCGGGGGUGAAAUCCCAGGGCUCAACCCUGGAACUGCCUUCGAUACUGGCGAUCUUCGAGUCCGGGAGAGGUGAGUGGAACUCCGAGUGUAGAGGUGAAAUUCGUAGAUAUUCGGAAGAACACCAGUGGCGAAGGCGGCUCACUGGCCCGGUACUGACGCUGAGGUGCGAAAGCGUGGGGAGCAAACAGG